rnacentral:rRNA from 1 species
UAAGGUUUUGAAAAGGGUAUUCAAUAGAAAUCUUGAUAGAAGCUAAUUAGGACGGUACGAUUCGAAAAGUUGUAAGGAGACGUAGGUCUGUGAUUUACAAAUUUCCUUUAGAGAAAACUUAAAUUUUAUAAUUUAAUUAAAUGAUGUGAAUUGAAUCAUCUUAGUAACAUUUCAAAAAAUCAAACGAGAAUUUGCAAGUAAUGGCGAAUGAAAGUAAAAAGUUACUAAAAUUAAUUUACGAAAAAAUUACUAAAAAGGGUAAAAGUCCUGUAAUAAGUUAAUUUUAGAAAUUAGAAAGUAACAUGACAAAUUUGUGUGAACAAAGGAGCUCCACCUUCUAAAACUUAAAUAGCUUCUAAUCGAUAGUGAACGAGUAUUGUGAAAGAAAGAUAAAUAAAUCCGAUGUAAAGGAAAGCUAAAUUGAAUAUCUAUAAGUUUUCGAAGUUUAAAACUACGAAUUGCCUUUUGCAUAAUGAAUCAGUAAGUUAAUGUACAUUGCAAGUUUAAAAUGUAAAAAUUAAACGAAAGUAAUGUAAAUUAUACCUGAAACCAAGUGAUCUAACUGUAAACAAGUUGAAAAUUUAUUAAUUUAAAUUGAAGGACUGAACUCACAUAUGUAGCAAAAUAUGGAGAUGAUUUAUGGUUAGGGGUGAAAGAUCAAUCAAACUUGGAGAUAGCCGGUUUUUCACGAAAUGUAUUUAAGUACUACAUAGUUAAAAGUAAAUUGUGUUUAGAGUUACUAAGUAAAAAAGGGAGUAUAAAAGCUUACUGAAUUUAAUAUAACUCCGAAGUAGAAUUUAAUUUUAACUAUAGUCAGUCUAUAGGCGAAAAGGUUUAUAGACGAGAGGAAAACAAUCCAGAUCAUUUACUAAGAUCUUAAAAUUAUAAGUUUAGGGAAAAAGAUUUAAGUGAGAGCAAAUAAAUUGAAUAAGCUUAGAAGCAGCUCUUUAUUAGAGAAAGCGUUUUAGCUCAUUAUUAAUUUUCUCAGUUGAAUUGAAAAUAAAGGAGACUAUAAACUAUAUAUCGAUGUAAUGGAUCAAAUAUUGAUGGUAGUGAAACAUUUUGUAAUUUUAGUAAUUUGUAAAAAGAAACUAAAAAUUUCAAAAAAGCUAAUGCUGAUAUGAGUAACGUAAAUUGUGUGAAAUCACAAUCGCUUUAUGUUUAAGGUUUUUAAUGAAAGUUUAAAAACAUUAAGUGAGUCGGUCCUUAAAGAGUAAGUGAAAACUAAAUCUGAAAGGAAUUUAUUUCUAAAGCCAACUAUAUGCAUAAGUUAUAUGUGGAAAAAAAUAAAAAUUUAUAAUAUGUGAUUAAUCUAAGGAAACUAUUAUUAAAUAUUUAAUUUUCGAGAAAAAAUUAUAGUUGAAGACCGUACUUAAACCGACGCUGGUAAACUAGUUGAGAAAACUAAAGUGAUCGAAUAAAUUAUAUUGAAGGAACUCAGCAAAUUAACUCUGUAAGUUCGCAAUAAAGAGAGCCAAAAUUUAUAUUUGGUAUAAAAAUAGAAAGCAACGACUGGUUAACAAAACCACAGGACUCUGCAAAUUAUUUAAAAUGUAUAGAGUCUGAUGCCUGCCCAGUGCCUAAAAGAGAAAAAAAUAAGUAGUAAGCUUAAAUUUGAAUUCUAGGUAAACGGCGGUUCUAACUAUAAGAAUCCUUAGGUAGCGAAAUUCAUUGACGGGUAAAUUCCGUCCUGCAUGAAAGGUUUAACGAUUGCUUUACUGUCUCCAAUAUAAAUUCGGUGAAAUUACAAUACCUGUGAAAAUGCAGGUUUCUUACAGUAAGACGGAAAGACCCUAGAUCCUUUACUCUAAUUUUGUAUUGUAAAUGCAUUUUUAUUGGGUAGAAUAAGUGGGAGUGAGAACUAAAUUGAAAUACCACUCUAUAGAAAAGAAUUUACUUAUUAAAUAUUUUAUUUGAAAUAGUAUAAAAAUGGGAGUUUACUUGGGAUGAGUACCUCCUAAACAAUAACGGAGGUGUACAAAGGUAAAUUAAUAAGUUUAAUGAUGUAAAUUUGCUUGACAAUUAGAUUGAUAAAUCAAAUUGGGACGUAAGUCAGUCAUAGUGAUCCAAUGUUAAAAAGUGGAAUUAGCAUUGCUCAACAGAUAAAAGGAACUCUAGGGAUAACAGAUUCAUCGUGAUUAAAAGUUCGUAUUGAUGUCACGGUUUGAUACCUCGAUGUCGACUCAUCUUAUCCUGAAACUGAAGUAGGUUUCAAGGGUCUAGUUGUUCGCUAGUUAAAAAGGUACGUGAGUUGGGUUCAGAACGUCGUGAGACAGUUCGGUCCCUAUCUACUGUAAGUAAAGAAAAAUAAAAAGAGUAUUUCUAGUACGAGAGGACCGAAAUACAUUAACCUCUAGUGAUAGAUUGUUAUACCUAUAGCAAAUCUAAUGGCCACGUUAAUUAAUUAUAAAUACUGAAAGAAUCAAAAGUAUGAAGAAAACUUUAUUUUUUUUCAUGAAUAAUCUAAAAGAUAAUUAGAUGGAUCGGUUUAAAGUAAAAAUUUAGUAAUAACUUAAAAGCUUAUAAACACGAAUAUAUUCAAAAACUUUAUAUU